AACAUACUCCCUCCGUUCGGAAUUACUUGUCACAAAAAUGAAUGUAUCUAGACAUAUUUUAGUUAUCGAUACAUCCAUUUUUAUUCACUUUUAAGACAAGUAAUUUGGAACGGAGGGAGUAAACG
rfam:Triticum aestivum genome assembly, contig: Triticum_aestivum_CS42_TGACv1_scaffold_392588_5AS